AACGAACGCUGGCGGCAGGCCUAACACAUGCAAGUCGAGCGGACCCUUCGGGGUUAGCGGCGGACGGGUGAGUAACGCGUGGGAAUGUGCCCUUCUCUACGGAAUAGCCCUGGGAAACUGGGAGUAAUACCGUAUACGCCCUAUUGGGGAAAGAUUUAUCGGAGAAGGAUCAGCCCGCGUUGGAUUAGGUAGUUGGUGGGGUAAUGGCCUACCAAGCCGACGAUCCAUAGCUGGUUUGAGAGGAUGAUCAGCCACACUGGGACUGAGACACGGCCCAGACUCCUACGGGAGGCAGCAGUGGGGAAUCUUAGACAAUGGGGGCAACCCUGAUCUAGCCAUGCCGCGUGAGUGAUGAAGGCCUUAGGGUUGUAAAGCUCUUUCAGCUGGGAAGAUAAUGACGGUACCAGCAGAAGAAGCCCCGGCUAACUCCGUG
rnacentral:rRNA from 1 species